rnacentral:rRNA from 1 species
UACGUAGGUGGCAAGCGUUAUCCGGAUUUAUUGGGCGUAAAGCGAGCGCAGGCGGUUUGAUAAGUCUGAUGUGAAAGCCUUUGGCUUAACCAAAGAAGUGCAUCGGAAACUGUCAGACUUGAGUGCAGAAGAGGACAGUGGAACUCCAUGUGUAGCGGUGGAAUGCGUAGAUAUAUGGAAGAACACCAGUGGCGAAGGCGGCUGUCUGGUCUGCAACUGACGCUGAGGCUCGAAAGCAUGGGUAGCGAAC